ACCCUGGUCAGACGAACGCUGGCGGCGUGCUUAACACAUGCAAGUCGAACGGAAAGGCCCUGCUUGCAGGGUGCUCGAGUGGCGAACGGGUGAGUAACACGUGGGUGAUCUGCCCCUUACUUUGGGAUAAGCCUGGGAAACUGGGUCUAAUACUGGAUAGGACCAUGCUGUAGGUGGUGUGGUGGAAAGAUUAGUUUCGGUAAGGGAUGAGCUCGCGGCCUAUCAGCUUGUUGGUGGGGUAAUGGCCUACCAAGGCGUCGACGGGUAGCCGGCCUGAGAGGGUGGACGGCCACAUUGGGACUGAGAUACGGCCCAGACUCCUACGGGAGGCAGCAGUGGGGAAUAUUGCACAAUGGGCGCAAGCCUGAUGCAGCGACGCCGCGUGGGGGAUGACGGCCUUCGGGUUGUAAACUCCUUUCAGCCAUGACGAAGCCUUCGGGUGACGGUAGUGGUAGAAGAAGCACCGGCUAACUACGUGCCAGCAGCCGCGGUAAUACGUAGGGUGCGAGCGUUGUCCGGAAUUACUGGGCGUAAAGAGCUCGUAGGUGGUCUGUCGCGUCAUUUGUGAAAGCCCGGGGCUUAACUCCGGGUUGGCAGGUGAUACGGGCAUGACUGGAGUACUGUAGGGGAGACUGGAAUUCCUGGUGUAGCGGUGAAAUGCGCAGAUAUCAGGAGGAACACCGGUGGCGAAGGCGGGUCUCUGGGCAGUAACUGACGCUGAGGAGCGAAAGCAUGGGUAGCGAACAGGAUUAGAUACCCUGGUAGUCCAUGCCGUAAACGGUGGGCGCUAGGUGUGGGUUUCCUUCCACGGGAUCCGUGCCGUAGCUAACGCAUUAAGCGCCCCGCCUGGGGAGUACGGCCGCAAGGCUAAAUCAGAAAUUUUUGUGGAGAGA
rnacentral:rRNA from 1 species